AACCAUAGAAACCUGCGGAGUACCUGCGGAGGGAUCAUUACCGAGUUUACAACUCCCAAACCCCUGUGAACAUACCAAUUGUUGCCUCGGCGGAUCAGCCCGCUCCCGGUAAAACGGGACGGCCCGCCGGAGGACCCCUAAACUCUGUUUCUAUAUGUAACUUCUGAGUAAAACCAUAAAUAAAUCAAAACUUUCAACAAUGGAUCU
rnacentral:misc_RNA from 1 species